UACGGGGGGAGCAAGCGUUGUUCGGAUUUACUGGGCGUAAAGGGCGCGUAGGCGGUCAGCACAAGUCAGUUGUGAAAUCUCCGGGCUUAACUCGGAAAGGUCAACUGAUACUGUGCGACUAGAGUGCGGAAGGGGCAACUGGAAUUCUCGGUGUAGCGGUGAAAUGCGUAGAUAUCGAGAGGAACACCUGCGGCGAAGGCGGUGCUGGGCCGACACUGACGCUGAUGCGCGAAAGCCAGGGAGCGAACGGG
rnacentral:rRNA from 1 species